CUUCCUAAUUUUACAUUUAUAUUGGAACCAAGCUGGCCCGUCUUACCGAAACCUUGUUUUGUAUUACUUAGUAUUUGCAUUCGCUUCGUUGAUAGAGUUAACUUGUCAGUUCUUGUAUUGUAGGGUUCCAGAGGAUUCAGAGUUUCUAACACAAGAUUUUCUUUAAAAACCUGAGGCUCAGUCUUGGCUUUGGGUAUACCCAUAGUAUAUUCUUUUUUUUUCUAAUUUCAACAUCAUGUGAUAAUAUUCUCAAUUCUCAUAAACGAAGGGGGCCGUACCUAGGUAUGUGCAUA
rnacentral:lncRNA from 1 species